rnacentral:rRNA from 1 species
GGAUUAGUGGCGAACGGGUGAGUAACACGUGAGUAACCUGCCCUUAACUCUGGGAUAAGCCUGGGAAACUGGGUCUAAUACCGGAUAGGAGCGCCUACCGCAUGGUGGGUGUUGGAAAGAUUUAUCGGUUUUGGAUGGACUCGCGGCCUAUCAGCUUGUUGGUGAGGUAAUGGCUCACCAAGGCGACGACGGGUAGCCGGCCUGAGAGGGUGACCGGCCACACUGGGACUGAGACACGGCCCAGACUCCUACGGGAGGCAGCAGUGGGGAAUAUUGCACAAUGGGCGCAAGCCUGAUGCAGCGACGCCGCGUGAGGGAUGACGGCCUUCGGGUUGUAAACCUCUUUCAGUAGGGAAGAAGCGAAAGUGACGGUACCUGCAGAAGAAGCACCGGCUAACUACGUGCCAGCAGCCGCGGUAAUACGUAGGGUGCGAGCGUUAUCCGGAAUUAUUGGGCGUAAAGAGCUCGUAGGCGGUUUGUCGCGUCUGUCGUGAAAGUCCGGGGCUUAACCCCGGAUCUGCGGUGGGUACGGGCAGACUAGAGUGCAGUAGGGGAGACUGGAAUUCCUGGUGUAGCGGUGGAAUGCGCAGA